rnacentral:rRNA from 1 species
UACGGAGGGGGCUAGCGUUGUUCGGAAUUACUGGGCGUAAAGCGCGCGUAGGCGGAUCUGCAAGUCGGGGGUGAAAUCCCGAGGCUCAACCUCGGAACUGCCUUCGAUACUGCGGGUCUCGAGUCCGGGAGAGGUGAGUGGAAUUCCUAGUGUAGAGGUGAAAUUCGUAGAUAUUAGGAAGAACACCAGUGGCGAAGGCGGCUCACUGGCCCGGUACUGACGCUGAGG